rnacentral:misc_RNA from 1 species
UUCGUAGAUUUCUAAUGAGAAGAGGAGGUGAGAGUAAACUGAAAUCACUGUUCCUUGGGGACAGUGAUUGAAAGAAGUGGAGGUGAGAGAAGUGGAGGUGAGAGUAAACUGAAAUCACUGUUCCUUGGGGACAGUGAUUGAAAGAAGUGGAGGUGAGAAGAGGAGGUGAGAGAAGUGGAGGUGAGAGUAAACUGAAAUCACUGUUCCUUGGGGACAGUGAUUGAAGUGUGAGAGGGAGUCGUGCGAAGACCAAGAUGCGAGGGGUUGAGGAAUUGGCGGUGAGAAAGUACCGAGGAAGUCGUGCGAUGACCAAGAGGGAUGGAGUGGUGAAGGAGUAUUGAGAUAAUCGUGCGAUGACCAAGAGGGAUAGGAUUGAGAGUGGAGUAUGAGAGUGAAUGUGAGCAGUGUGUAAAAAAUUUUGUGCAGAAAAUUCUUGAGUGUGUUUGUGUUUGUGUUUGUGUUUGUUUGUGCGUGUUUGUGUUUGUGUCUGUAUUUGUGUGUGUCUGCGUUUGUGUUUGUGUCCGUAUGCCUGUGUUUGUGUUUGUGCGCAGUGCGCUUUUGUGUUUUGUAUUGGCCGAGGGUCGUGUCUUGGCAAAACCUAUUAAAAGGCCUUCAUUUUGCUUCUAUAUGAAUUCUCGGGUCCUUAAAAUACCCCCCCAGUUGUUUCGUUAGGAAAUUCCAGGAAUUUGAAUUUUGGGAGGCAUUCCAAAGAUGCACAGUCGCAGUAUGCGCGAGAAAUGAAUACAAGAGAGGAAAUUGUGAGAGAGUGAGAAGUGGAGGGAAGAAAAAUUAGGAAAGGCAGGGGAUAUAAAUAUUUUGGAAGGGAUGUUGGAAGGGAAGUUGGAACAGUAGUUUUGUUUUAAAGGUCUUUUAAAUCUUUUUGUUGGGCCUUUUGAUGGUUGGUUGGUGGCGCGCAGUAGUGGCGAAUUUCCCGGAUUUUACUCAACUUUUGUGAGGCGUCAAAAAAAUAAAUAUUUUCGCAGGUAACAAAUUUUGUGGCUGCAGCUUUUCGCGCCCGGAGGUACUAUAUGAGAGAGAUCUCUAGGAAUAAAGUGUAAGAACUUAGUUCCGAUGAAGUGAAUUAUAUAAACUAUACCUCCAGUCGGAGGUAUAUCUAUAGUUCCUUCCUGGCCUCGCGAUUUAUCGCUCAAGUCUCGGGCUGACAACGUCUUCCCGAGCAAGGUGAAACAGUGGAUUACUAGGCAAUGCCAAGUCCACCAAAACCCAGAUCAUUAGAUCUUUUUGCUACGAGUCAGUGGACAAUCCAGUCUUAAUAACUUCUACAUAGUUAUCUGGUUG